AUUGCUUCUGGGCCUUUUGGCUAAGAUCAAGUGUAGUAUCUGUUCUUAUCAGUUUAAAAGUGUUUUAUUCCAGGAUAAGAAUAAACAAAUGUAUUUCAGCUAAGAUAUUUAGUAGGUCAACCAAU
rnacentral:snRNA from 1 species